GCCUUCGUGGUGUAAAGGUAGCACACUCAGCUUACAUUCGAGAGGUCCAGGUGCGAAACCCGGUGAGAGUA
rnacentral:tRNA from 1 species